rnacentral:rRNA from 1 species
UACGAAGGGGGCUAGCGUUGUUCGGAAUCACUGGGCGUAAAGGGCGCGUAGGCGGCCGAUCAAGUCGGGGGUGAAAGCCUGUGGCUCAACCACAGAAUUGCCUUCGAUACUGUUUGGCUUGAGACCGGAAGAGGUUAGUGGAACUGCGAGUGUAGAGGUGAAAUUCGUAGAUAUUAGGAAGAACACCGGUGGCGAAGGCGGCCCACUGGAUCGGUACUGACGCUGAGGUGCGAAAGCGUGGGGAGCAAACAGG